rnacentral:tRNA from 1 species
GGAGGAAUGGCAGAGCGGUUGAAUGCGGCGGUCUUGAAAACCGUUGUGCCGAGAGGCACCGUGGGUUCGAAUCCUACUUCCUCCG